rnacentral:SRP_RNA from 1 species
GCCAGAUAUGGUGACACAUGCCUAUAGUCCCAGCUACUGGAGAGGCUGAGGCAGGAGGAUGGCUUGAGCCCAGGAGUUCUGGGCUGUGGUGCUGCUGUGUUGUUCGGUGUUCAGCAUUAAGUUCGGCAUCAAUAUGGUGACCUUGGGAGAGCAGGGAGGAGUGAACCGACCUGGGUUGAAAAUGGAGCAGGUGAAAACUCCCGUGCUGAUCAGUAGUGGGUUCCCACUGUGAAUGGCCACUGCAUUCCAGCCUGGGCAACAUAGCAAGACCCUGUCUCU